rnacentral:rRNA from 1 species
GACGAACGCUGGCGACGUGCUUAACACAUGCAAGUCGAGCGAUGAACCUUUCAUGAAUUUUUCGGAAUGAUUGGAAGAGGAUUAGCGGCGGACGGGUGAGUAACGCGUGAGCAACCUGCCUUAAACAACGGGAUAGCCUCGGGAAACCGGGAUUAAUACCGUAUGAGACCCCGCCUUCACAUGAAGAAGAGGUUAAAGAUUUAUCGGUUUAAGAUGGGCUCGCGUCUGAUUAGCUAGUUGGUGAGAUAAAAGCCCACCAAGGCAACGAUCAGUAACCGGCUUGAGAGAGUGAACGGUCACAUUGGAACUGAGACACGGUCCAAACUCCUACGGGAGGCAGCAGUGGGGAAUAUUGCACAAUGGGGGAAACCCUGAUGCAGCGACGCCGCGUGAGCGAUGAAGGAAUUCGUUUCGUAAAGCUCUGUCCAAGGGGAAGAUAAUGACAGUACCCUUGGAGGAAGCCCCGGCUAAAUACGUGCCAGCCGCCGCAGUAA